rnacentral:rRNA from 1 species
UACGUAGGGUGCGAGCGUUAAUCGGAAUUACUGGGCGUAAAGCGUGCGUAGGCGGUUCGUUAUGUCUGCUGUGAAAGCCCCGGGCUUAACCUGGGAAUGGCAGUGGAAACUGGCGGGCUUGAGUGUGGCAGAGGGGGGUGGAAUUCCGCGUGUAGCAGUGAAAUGCGUAGAGAUGCGGAGGAACACCGAUGGCGAAGGCAGCCCCCUGGGCUGACACUGACGCUGAGGCACGAAAGCAUGGGGAGCAAACAGG